AUUGAGAGCUCAACUAAAACAUUUUUGUUUUGACGAAUGUAAAAUAUCAAGGUUAAGUUAAUUAACUUAAAUUAAAAUUAUUAAUUCAUCUCCUGACCACGCCUCACCGACACUGGUGCAGUGAGUCGGUUAACGACGCCAUUUCUGCCACUAUGAGAGAUCAAGGAGAUUUGGAUGGGAAGGUGGAAAUUUAGUUUUAGAUACUUCGAUGGACGUUCUUUUCCGCUAUUUACAUUGUAUCGUUCUUUCUUUCCCACGAAAAAACUGUUUGUGCUCGGCAAAAAUUGUUGUUUGUUUAAAUGAUGGGACAUUUCUCCGUUAGCUAGUUGGUUUUCUCAGUCGCCUGCAGCGGACAGACCAGCGAGUAAACGGGGCGGUUUUUCACCUAUUCCUUUUUUUCACUCGAAGUUGUUUGUGAGGAGUGUAAACUGGUUUUACUCAUACCGCAGCCGCGAUUUCAGCGGAGGAGAGACAAUGGUGGAGCUAAUAUGGCUGAGAGCCCUCUUAAUGACUGUCUUGUUUUGGAGGGAACAAGAAAUAGAAGAGAUGCUCUGGAAGUAAAGCAAAUUUACCAUAGCUCAAGCUCAGUAAUUCUGGCAACUUAUGCUGGGAAACUAACCUGGUCCUGAGCAGGCUAACUAUCAGGCUAAGAAAAGUUGUCAGUGACAAGCCUGACAUCACCCAGAUGAUAAUUCAAAGGCCAGCUCUUUUUACAGUAAACCAGGAUGCAGCUGACAAGACAGACUCCAGUAUGAAUCCUCAGCAUUGAUCAAGAAAGUCCACAGCUCAAAACCCAUCUAGAGUGGAAAUCAUCUUGGAAGAAAAUUUUGUAAUGGAUGGACUGACCGAUCUCAGACCUUCUGUGUCCAUUGUUUUCAGACAGAUUUAUGCCCUGCACCUGGACUAAGUGUAUGAAAAGCACUUUAUAUUUUACUCAGCAGGUAAUGCUCAACCUCAGAAAAGGUGAGUUAGCACCUAAAAUUCAGUACUGCCAAAAUUGUGAACUGAGAGUGGAAUAAAACCAUAAAAAGUUUGUUAAACUAUUUCAUGUUUUAUGUGGAAACAUUUUCAGAAAAACGUUGUGUUUUGUUGUGUUUUUAAAUUAACAUUUGGAAUUGAAUUAAAAUAA